rnacentral:miRNA from 1 species
CAGUCUGACAAUAUAACGUGC